rnacentral:lncRNA from 1 species
GUGCCCGGCCAGUUCUACAAAUGUUAACGUAUAUGUAGAUUUGUGUAACCACCAUUGCAAUUAGGAUAUAAAUCAGUUCCAUCUGUCCAAAAAACUACCUCGAAUUGCCCUUGAUAGUCACGCCCUUCUCCCAGCCCUGACUCCUGGCAACCGCUGGUCUGCUCUUCAUCGCCCUAGCUUUGUCUUUCAAGAAUGCUGUGUAAAUGGAAUCAUACAACACAUAACCUUUUGAGACUGGCUUCUUUCACUCAGUUGUUCCAUGUAUCAGUGGUGUCUGUCCGAAUUCUUGGGGAAGCUGAGGAAACCAGGGCUGUGACUGUAAUAUUCUGCUGUACCUAUGAUCUGUGCCCAUGAUGCUCUGCUGUAUCCAUGAUGCUGUGCCCAUGAUGCCAUGUCAUGCUCUCUGUACCUUGCCAUGCCUGUGACACUAUGCCCUCUCCCUGGGAUUCUGCAGUCUUCCUGGCUGCUCUAGAAGCCAGGGAGAUUCCACCCCAUGUAAAAUGCUCCUGGGGUGGCCUGCUGACCUGGAUUCUCCUCUCAACAUCUUGAGCCCAACCACCUCUGCUGUCAAACUACACAUGGCCCAGGUGACUUCUCUCACAAAUGGGAGAGGGAAUCAGAGCAUUUCAUAGUCAGAGCAGAGGCCCUGGGGAGAUGCCCAUCUGCAGCAGACUUGGGACAACUGAUCCAAUUCAAGUCCAUCAUUGUGCAGAGUGGGAUUGUGAGCCUCAGAGUGGAGAGAAGAUUCAUCCAACUGUGGGUUCGGUGCCAGCCAGAGUGGGACUCCACCCUGACUCCCAGUUCAGAGCUCAUUUUGGUGGGGGGUCCUGAAGUUCUACCAUCAUAGUUACCCCUUGCUUGGGUCUCCAAAAUGUCCCUGUUCCAAUGUAUAUCUGUUACUUAAAUAACACAUUUGCAACAUAGCUAUCAGAGGGGUUGGUUUUUAUUUAGAAAGAAGCUAAUAAGUUAUAUUUUAUUUAUUAUAAAGACAAAAUUGUAACAGCACAAAUGAAAAUAUUAUUAAUAAAAGAAAUUCUUUCUGCCACCCUAAUCAUGUUUCAUUUGUUCACAUUACUUAAUGUCAUUCUAACAUACACACUUUAUGUGUACAUUUAUGCGUACAGCUGUAACCUUUUUAUAUACAUUUUAUCAUCUUUUUUCACUCAAUGUUUAUUUUUUCUAUUUUUAAGGAGCUGAAUUCAGAAGACAAUGUUAUACAUUUAUAUAGCUUUCUACCUUCUGCACAGUAUUUCAUCAAGUAAGUAAACCAUGACACCUUCAUAGUUUUUGUAUCAUGAAAUAUUUUAAUCAUACAGAAAAUCGCAAGGAACAAUAUACCACACAUAUUUAACAAAUAUUGAUAUUUAAAAAAUAUUUCUAAGCUUGGCAUAGUGGUGUGUGCCUAUAGUUCCAGCUACUCACUUGGGAGGCUGAGGCAGGAGGAUCGCUUGAGCCCAGGAAUUUUAGGCUGUGGUGUGCUAUGCUGAUUAGGUAUCUGCACUAAGUUUGGGAUAAAUAUGAUGACCUCCUGGGAGCAGGGGACCACUAGGUUGCCUAAUGUGCGGUGAACCAGCCCAGUCUGGAAAUGGAGCAAGUCAAAAUUCCCGUGCUGAUUAGUUGAGGGAUGGCAUCUGUGAAUAGCUAUGGCUUUCCAUCCUGGGCAACAUAGCGAGACCCUGUCUCUUAAAAAAAAUAAAGAUACAUUUACAGGUACAGUUGGAGCUUUCCUCUGCAUGAUGUACUCAAGUCCCUCCCAGGAUGGACUAUAUAAUUUUCAGGGCCCAGUGCAAAAUGGAAAUGCAGGGACCCUUAUUCAAAAAUCAUGAUGAGUUUCAAGACAGCAACAGCAGAGCAUUAAACCAAGCACAGAGCCCUUCUAAGUACAGGUCUUAGUGCUACUGCACAGGUGACAGCUGUGCUACAUCCAGGCAGCCAGCUCUAAUUCCGCAUCUCCUCUCACUUUCUUAACAUUGAUCUGUGUCUUUGUUGUCCCAUGUUUAUGCUUUUACUUCAUAUACAUGCAUAGACCAAUAUUAUGGAGUAUUGUGUUACAUGUUUUAAAAUAUUGCAUAAAUGGCAUCAUAUUGUCUGUAUCCUUAGGUUGCUUGUCUUACUCUUUUUGAGAGGUAUCUGUGUGGAAUCAUGGAGAUGUUAUUCAUUUUCACUGUCGCCUAAUAAUCCAUUGUGAGAUCUCACCACAGUUCAUUUAUCCAGUACCCUACAUUUUUAUCAUAAUUAACAGUACUAAGGUGAACAUCCUUGGGCACAGUUCUCUGUGCAUGUAUGUGAGUUUCUGUCUAUCUGUCACUAGGUGUGGAAUUGAACUGCUCUGCCUUGCUGGAUGUUGAAGUUAUUUCCAAGUUUUUGCUUGGCAUCAAUGUGCUCCCCUGGGGUGCCUCCCUUUGGAUGUUCCUAAGUCAUCUGAAAAGCUUCCCUUGGGAGACUUUCCUCUGAGCUACCUUUCUUUUAAGAUCACCAUCCACACAGUCAGAAACUGUGUGUCCUGACCCUUUCCUUUUAUUCCCUCACCACUUCUAACCUAUUGCCAAAGCCUAUGGAUUCCCACUCUAAAAUAUGGCUUUAACCCAUCCUUCCUCCAUUUCCUUCCUGCUACUUCUGUUAUCUUGGCUCGGGAACCCCCCUCCCCUAGACUCCUUUUCCAACUCCUAACUUGUCCCUCAACCCCCCCAGUCUCCAGCCCCCCAACUUUCUCCACUGAAGGACUUAUUACACCCUACCAAGUUGCAUGGUGACAUGGUGACAUGCAGUGCUCCCAUGAACAUUGUAGAGAUCAGAGCUGUGAGUUACAUGACAGCAAAGAUUGCAUCAUAGUCACCAUUUGUGGACCUGUAGCAUGGUACCUGGUACCCAACAGAAUCUAAAAAUAUCUGUUGAAUCAAAGUCCGAAUAAACAUCAUGCUGUCAUUUUCCUAUCUUUUGGAUGACUCAGGAUAAAUUCGCCAAAGGAGCAUUAUUGAUGACUUAGGAUAAUGAACAUAAAGUUCAUAGUCCUGUGUAAACUGAAUUUGAUCCACACAAAACUUUAGGUCAGUUGAGACCAGCAUGGGCAACAGAGUGAGACCCUGUCUCUACAAAAAUAUAAAUAAGUUAGCUGGACAUGGUGGCGUGCCUAUCGUUCUUACUACUUGGGAGGCUAAGCAGGGAGGAUCACUUAAGCCCAGGAGCUUGGAGCUGCAGUGAACUAUGAUCACACUACCGCACUCCAGUCUGUGACAGAACGAGACCUUGUCUCUAAAUAAAAAUAUAUAAUUUAAAAAACUCUAGGUCAGGUGUGAGAGAUAGGAUGACCCUUAGCAAGAAGUGGUUUUCCCAAGAUCCCAAAGCCAGUAAGAGACAAAGUAUAAAGAGCAACAGGUACUCAGGUAUUCUUUCCACCUGCUUGUCCUAUUUCAUAGGUGUCCUAAAUUUAGUUUAGAAAUAACUAAAUAUAAACUAUGUUGCCUUUUAAUGUCGGGUGACUGUCUCUUUAAAUCUUGCUGUUUUAACACAAAUAUACUUCAUUCUAAUGUGUAUAUAUAUAUAAUAUGUAUAUAUAUUUAAAUAAUAACCUGAUAGAAUUUGUAUCUCUCUAGAAAAGAAAGAACUCUCAUCUCGGGGCCUUUGUUUAUCCAUCUAUUAAAUGGGCAUAAGGAGGGUCCUUCUAGGAUCUUUUGCUCUGUGAGUAGAUAAGGAAAAAGCACACUUUUCUAUCCCUAUCUAAUUUUGUUGCUCCCAUGCUCUGUGCAGUCAUUUAUGGGGCUGAGGAGGAUGAAGGAGGAGGAUUUAUGGGGCUCUUGCAAAACUGGGAAACAGUAAUAGCUGACAUUAUAGCUGCCAGUGCCCCUUACCUGCUGAUUUGAAAGCCCUUUAAUCACUUGUAGCUUAUGAAACAGAAAGUGAUCUGCUAGCUAUUUCCCCCAAAUGCGUUGGUGAGUUCAUAGGUUAACCCUACAGGAAGGAGACAGCAUUGCUAAACACAAGAAGAGCCUUACUUACUUCAUGGGCUUUCAAGUGUCAAGGGCCCCAAUCCUUGACUCUGAGACCCUCAAAUGAUACCAUCUAGCUGAUGUUGUUCUAAAGGGUCAGCCCUGAGGAGAAGUUCAUCCUAUGGAAGUCACCUGAGCACUCCACAUACCAUCUGAAGCCCUGGCUUCCAGUUCUGGCUCUGCCACUAAAGGGCUGUGUGACCUCAGCCACAUUCCUCCACAUUUACAGUGAAGCUGGUGGAAAACACGUUUCCACUGCCCCUCCACAGUUCUAAAGUUCUAUCAUUCAAUGGGAGGUGGAGAUGGUUCUCAGCAUCAACAAUACAAAGCAGGGAGAUUUUUAGUUCCUCUUGGCCUGAGUCCCUGCCUCCUGGACAGAAGCUGGGAAAUAGAUGAGCAUCUGGCUCCCUGGCCUGGGUCACAGAAUCACAGAAUCGUGGGUGGCUGGCAGGAAGCCUCUGCGUUUGCCAAGACCCACGUCCUACCUCCCUCCCUCAUUCAACACAAAUUUACUAAGCAGUUGCGUUGAGUAGAAUGUGGGCAGAGAUGGCGGCUGUUGUGUUCACCAAUUUAUCCAUGGCAUCUAGCGCAGUGGCUGGCACAUAGUAGCUGCUCACUACAUAUCUGCUGAAUGAUGUCUCAUCUCCUACAGUAGGGGAGCCUAUUAAGCACAGAUUCCUGGGCCCACCCCAGACCUACUGAAUUGGAAUCUCUGGCGUUAGUGUCCAAGUGACUGUCAUGCCCUCCAGAGUCUGAGAACCACAGCUGUAUGUAGUGUCUGAAUAAAGCAUCAUCUUAUUAUUGGAAAGGAGAAAAUGCUGAUGUUUCAACUUUUGAGCAUUUGUCGGUAGUGACUAAAAUAUUCAAGUCAAAUAGGUUCAUUUUGCUGUAGCCAUUUCCAUGGAGCCUGGGGAGCUCUGGGCUUUGCACUAGGUAUGCACAGGGCUCACUUUCACUAAUCUUGAGGGAGGCGAGGCUGAUAAAAAAGGCAGAGAAGAUAGGAGUCAAGCCACACAAUGUCCAAGCUUGGCAUUAUUAUUGCCCUUCACUUGGAAGUUAUCAAACAGGACACGCGCUGCCCUUCUAGCUUUCCUGGGGAGGUUAGAUGCUAUGAGACUUUUCACACUCCCUUUCCAGUGUCUGUGGCUCAGACCAUGUACACACCCAGGUUCAAAUCUGAGCUGUUGUCUCUAUGUAGUCUGGGGCCAAUCACUUUAACCCCCUUUAAACUUUUGUUUCUUUAGUCAUAAAAUGGACAUCAUGAUUUACCCUACGGAGGGUUGCUGGAAGGAUUAGAGAUGCUAUAAACUCAGGCGUUGGGCACAUGCUCAGUACAGAAAAGCCCUAAGGUUUGGUUGAUGUCUAUAAACUGCCAUAACAUCCGGGCUGCAGGACUCUGUAGAGGUUCAUCUAGGCUAGCUCCUUCUUCUUUUUUUUUUUUUUUGAGACGGAGUCUUGCUCUGUCGCCCAGGCUGGAGUGCGAUGGCACAAUCUCAGCUCACUGCAGCCUCCGCCUCCUGGGUUCAAGCAAUUCUCCUGACUCAGCCUCCCUAGUAGCUGGGACUACAGGCGGGGGCCACCACGCCCUGCUAAUUUUUUGUAUUUUUAGUGAGAUGAGGUUUCACCCUGUUAGCCAGGAUGGUCUAGAUCUCCUGACCUCAUAAUCAGCCUGCCUCAGCCUCCCAAAGUGCUGGGAUUAUAGGCGUGAGCCACUGCGCCCGGACUGCUCCUUCUUUUUUUUUUUGAGAGGAAGUCUCGCUCUUGUCCCCAGGCUGGAGUGCGCCCAACUGACCACUCCUUCGUUUUUUUGUUUUUUGUUUUUGAGACGAAGUCUUGCUCUU